GACGAACGCUGGCGGCGUGCCUAAUACAUGCAAGUUGAGCGCUGAAGGUUGGUACUUGUUCCAACUGGAUGAGCAGCGAACGGGUGAGUAACGCGUGGGUAAUCUGCCUUUGAGCGGGGGACAACAUUUGGAAACGAAUGCUAAUACCGCAUAAUAACUUUAAACACAAGGUUUAAGUUUGAAAGAUGCAAUUGCAUCACUCAAAGACUAUCCCGCGUUGUAUUAGCUAGUUGGUGAGGUAAAGGCUCACCAAGGCGAUGAUACAUAGCCGACCUGAGAGGGUGAUCGGCCACAUUGGAACUGAGACACGGCCCAAACUCCUACGGGAGGCAGCAGUAGGGAAUCUUCGGCAAUGGACGAAAGUCUGACCGAGCAACGCCGCGUGAGUGAAGAAGGUUUUCGGAUCGUAAAACUCUGUUGGUAGGGAAGAACGUUGGUGGGAGUGGAAAGCUCAUCAAGUGAGGGUAACUACCAAGAAAGGAACGGCUAACUACGU
rnacentral:rRNA from 1 species